rnacentral:sRNA from 1 species
UUUGCAAACUCUGCAAAAGUCCCCAGUAGACCGCAGAGGCUCGCGGCCUCGGGCGUCUUGGCUCUGGAGAAGGCUGCGUGGCAAGAGGCGGCCAGUGAUAGCAUUCUGCCUCUUGAUGACCCUAUCUGCGAUGGCUGUCACCCGCGUUCCCCCACAGCAUCCAUCCGUCGGCCCAGACCCUGGUCCCAUGGAGCCUCACAGGGUAACUGGCGCCCCUGCAACCCGUAUCCGGCAGGCUUUGAGCUCCAGCCGGAGGCAGCGGGCAAGAAACAUGGGCUUCUGGAGAAGCCGCGCUUUGCCCAGGAACUCCAUCUUGGUCUGUGCUGAGGAGCAAGGCCAUAGAGCAAGAGUGGACAGAAGCAGGGAGUCCCCAGGAGGGGACCUCAGGCAUCCAGGGAGGGUGAGGAGGGACAUUACUUUGUCAGGACAUCCAAGACUCAGUACUCAGCAUGUUGUGCUCCUGAGGGAGGAUGAGGUCGGAGAUCCAGGAGCCAAAGACCUGGGCCACCCCCAGCAGGGCGGUCCCAUCCAGGAGACGCAGAGUGAGAUGGUCACCCUGGUCAGCCCACUCCCAGGGAGCGACGUGGCAGCUUUACCGGCUUGGAGAGCUACUUCUGGGCUGACACUCUGGCCCCAUACAGCAGAAGGCAGGGAUCUGCUGGGAGAUGAGAACAGAGCCUUGACUGGUGGGCAACAAGCAGAGGAUCCCACCUUGGCCUCAGGGGCUCAUCAGUGGCCUGGCUCUGUUGAGAAGCUGCAAGGGUCAGUAUGGUGUGACGCUGAGACGCUGUUGAGCAGCUCAAGGACUGGUGGGCAGGCUCCCCCAUGGCUGACAGACCACGAUGUGCAGAUGCUCCGGCUGUUGGCGCAGGGGGAGGUGGUGGACAAAGCCAGGGUCCCCGCCCAUGGGCAGGUGCUACAGGUUGGCUUCCCUGCUGAGGCUGCCCUUCAGGACCUGUCCUCUCCCAGGCUCAGCCAACUCUGCUCCCAAGGGCUCUGUGGCCUGAUCAAGAGGCCUGGGGACCUGCCUGAGGUCCUGUCCUUCCACCUAGAUCGUGUGCUGGGGCUGCGCCGGAGCCUACCUGCUGUGGCCCGCCGCUUCCAUAGCCCCCUCCUGCCCUACCGCUACACAGACGGCGGAGCAAGGCCUGUCAUCUGGUGGGCGCCCGAUGUGCAGCACCUGAGCGACCCAGAUGAGGAUCAGAACUCUCUGGCCUUGGGCUGGCUGCAGUAUCAGGCCCUGCUGGCACACGGCUGCAACUGGCCAGGCCAGGCCCCAUGCCUGGGUAUCCACCAUACCGAGUGGGCACGCCUGGCACUCUUUGACUUCCUGUUGCAGGUCCACGACCGCUUGGAUCGCUACUGCUGUGGCUUCGAGCCUGAGCCCUCAGACCCCUGUGUGGAAGAGAGGCUCCGAGAGAAAUGCCGGAACCCAGCCGAGCUGCGGCUGGUCCACAUCCUGGUACGUCUCCUCCACACCAUCCCCUUGUCACCCCAGACCCAGGUCUUCCUGUGUCCUUCAGAAGAUGCUGUUAACAAGUUUCAGAGAUCAGUUGAUGCUGGGGUUUCCCAGUCUUGUUCUUUUCAGCAGCAGAACCAGUUGUUUGAAUAUUUCCAGGAGUCUGCAAUAUAUAAAGCUGACAAAAUGGAGCUUUAAGAAUGUGCCUGAGGAGGAGUGUGGGGUGGGGGCUGGAGCCCUGUUUUCACUGUCUCCACUGCCCCUGAGAGACUCCAGGGAACAACUAGGGCUCCUGGAAGUAGAGUUUGAGAAUGGUGUGUCUAGUCAAAUCCUUGCUGUGCCAGUCAAUGAGGAAUUGCAGUCUGGAGGGAAAGGAAUCUCCAAGGCCAUACGGUAGCAGCAUUAGGGCAUGAACCCAAGACCACAGUGGCUCACAGGCUGGUGCUGCUCCUGUCAAAACUAGAGUCCAGGGUGGGAAGC